AGUGAACGCUGGCGGUAGGCCUAACACAUGCAAGUCGAACGGCAGCACAGUAAGAGCUUGCUCUUACGGGUGGCGAGUGGCGGACGGGUGAGGAAUACAUCGGAAUCUACUUUUUCGUGGGGGAUAACGUAGGGAAACUUACGCUAAUACCGCAUACGACCUACGGGUGAAAGCAGGGGAUCUUCGGACCUUGCGCGAUUGAAUGAGCCGAUGUCGGUUUAGCUAGUUGGCGGGGUAAAGGCCCACCAAGGCGACGAUCCGUAGCUGGUCUGAGAGGAUGAUCAGCCACACUGGAACUGAGACACGGUCCAGACUCCUACGGGAGGCAGCAGUGGGGAAUAUUGGACAAUGGGCGCAAGCCUGAUCCGGCCAUACCGCGUGGGUGAAGAAGGCCUUCGGGUUGUAAAGCCCUUUUGUUGGGAAAGAAAAGCAGCAGGUUAAUACCCCGCUGUUCUGACGGUACCCAAAGAAUAAGCACCGGCUAACUUCGUG
rnacentral:rRNA from 1 species